rnacentral:tRNA from 1 species
GUCUCUGUGGCGCAACGGUAGCGCGUCCGACUCCAGAACGGAAGGUUGCGUGUUCAAAUCACGUCAGGGGUC